rnacentral:rRNA from 1 species
AUUGAACGCUGGCGGAAUGCUUUACACAUGCAAGUCGAACGGUAACAGGGACUUCGGUCCGCUGACGAGUGGCGAACGGGUGAGUAAUACAUCGGAACGUACCCAGUUGUGGGGGAUAACUACGCGAAAGCGUAGCUAAUACCGCAUACGACCUGAGGGUGAAAGCGGGGGACCGUAAGGCCUCGCGCAGUUGGAGCGGCCGAUGUUCGAUUAGCUAGUUGGUGAGGUAAAGGCUCACCAAGGCGACGAUCGAUAGCUGGUAUGAGAGGAUGAUCAGCCACACUGGGACUGAGACACGGCCCAGACUCCUACGGGAGGCAGCAGUGGGGAAUUUUGGACAAUGGGCGAAAGCCUGAUCCAGCCAUUCCGCGUGAGUGAAGAAGGCCUACGGGUUGUAAAGCUCUUUCGGGUAGAAAGAAAUCGCAUGGGCCAAUACCCUGUGCGGAUGACGGUACUACCAUAAGAAGCACCGGCUAACUACGUGCCAGCCGCCGCCGUAA